rnacentral:rRNA from 1 species
GACAGAGGGUGCAAACGUUGCUCGGAAUCACUGGGCGUAAAGGGCGUGUAGGCGGGAAGGAAAGUCAGAUGUGAAAUCCCCAGGCUCAACCUGGGAACUGCAUUUGAAACUCCCUUUCUUGAGUACCGGAGAGGAAAGUGGAAUUCCUGGUGUAGAGGUGAAAUUCGUAGAUAUCAGGAGGAACACCGGUGGCGAAGGCGGGUCUCUGGGCAGUAACUGACGCUGAGGAGCGAAAGCGUGGGGAGCGAACAGG